rnacentral:rRNA from 1 species
UACCGAGGCCCCAAGCGUUACUGAGAAUCACUGGGUUUAAAGGGUGCGUAGGUGGUCCGUUAAGUUCGUUGUGAAAGCCCUGGGCUCAACCCAGGAACUGCUUCGAAUACUGGCGGACUUGAGGCUAGUAGAGGUCACUGGAACUGACGGUGGAGCGGUGAAAUGCGUAGAUAUCGUCUGGAACGCCGAAGGUGAAAACAGCUCGCUGGGGUUGUGCUGACGCUGAGACACGAAAGCCAGGGGAGCGAACGGG